GACGUAGGGCGCGAGCGUUGUCCGGAUUUAUUGGGCGUAAAGAGCUCGUAGGCGGUUUGUCGCGUCGUUCGUGAAAACUCACAGCUUAACUGUGAGCUUGCGGUCGAUACGGGCAGGCUAGAGUUCGGUAGGGGAGACUGGAAUUCCUGGUGUAGCGGUGAAAUGCGCAGAUAUCAGGAGGAACACCGGUGGCGAAGGCGGGUCUCUGGGCCGAUACUGACGCUGAGGUGCGAAAGCGUGGGGAGCAAACAGG
rnacentral:rRNA from 1 species